rnacentral:tRNA from 1 species
GAGGGUGCAGCUCAGUGGUAGAGCGUGUGCUUAGCAUGUACCAGGCCCUGGGUUCAAUCCCCAAUGCCAACA